GUCUCCCCGGGGAGAUUCGUUCUCAUUUUUCUACUGCUCGUGGAUUUACGCGCACGUUGGAACCGAAGAGAGCUCUGUUGUUGCAAUGUUCAGCCCACAAGAGCUUACUGGUGAAGGAAUGGGACAAGACCCAUCUUUAUGCAAAGCCAGCGUUACAGUAAUGUUCCAGCAUCUCAUAAUCUAUCCUGGGGAAUUCAGCUGCCUCCCAGGGUGAAUACAGGUAUUCCUGAUGACAGUCUGCCUCUAUCUUACAGUAAGUUGUUUUUCGAAUUCUAUGGGCCUAUUAUCUAAUAGAUAACUUAGCCAUUUUGAUAUUUGUUACCAAAGCCUGCUUAACCCAUAAAGUUUUCUGGUUCCUCUUGUUCUCUGUAGUGAUGUUUCUAGAUAGAUGCCCACUGAUAUAUGCCCCUUUUUUCUCAGAUAGAUGCCCACUGAUCUGCCCAGGGUCAGACGAAUGCUUGUCAGUUGUAGCUUUCCAGGAUUCUGCUCCAAUGAGGAGGAAACAUCCUGCCUUACCCCUGUUUUAGCCUGGGAACCAGUAAUUGUGAACUCACCAGGGUUAACAUGAAGAGGGCAUGAGAGCUUAUUCCAUAAGGAAUUGUCUGAGACAUUUGGUUACCUUUUCUUAGUUUGUCCAUUAGCAACCGUAACUAAAAUAGUUUUGGCUGUUUGGGAUAAUUAGCUAAUUGAAUGAUUUUUUGAUUCAGGAGCAGCUUGUUGCUAUAUACCAUUGAAAAGCCUUCAGAGCUGAGAGGUACUACUAACCAAUAACCUGCUUGGCUCAAAGGUGAGUAAUUUCACGGUAUUCAAUGCACUCAGUAUAUAGGGUAGGAAAAAGUGCCUUUUUAGGCCUGUGUUUGUGAUGACUUACAUGGAAUCUCGUUCGGCUGAUGACUUGCUGUUGAGACUCUGAAAUCUGAUUUUCUGAGAAUGAUGGGUGGGAACAACAUAAUGCGGGAUAUGAGAAGCACUACUGACUUGGUCUUCCUCCUUUCAGGGCCAGCACCUUCUCUCUAAAGCCCAAGAGGAGUUUGAGGAAAACUAGGUGUCUGUGUUCACUCCAGGCUGAAGUUACAGGUCUGAGCAAAUAAGGUGUAUAAAAAAUGGAAUCUGUCUUGGAGGACAUCAGAAGGUGAAUUUUCCAAGUUCUUGGACAACCUAGCUGUUGAAAAGCUUUCUGGGUUUGGGGGGUAUUUCAGAUGUACCUUAAAGUGUUAGCAGACACAGAUUAAGACACUGGGAGCCAAUGAAACAGCAGUUGAGGGUUUGCUGUGUAUCACAUUUCUGUAUUUUAUCACCCCCUUCCUGCAACAUUAUUUAUCUGGAAUCUACCUGCCCUUUUGUUUUUUAGAUACAAGGGCUUGGUUUUGUUACCCAGGCUGGUUUCAAGGCCAUAGCUUUAAGAGAUCCUCUCACCACAGAUUUCCAAAGUGCUGGGAUUGCAGGUGUGAUUCAUGGCACCCAGACUUUGCUGCCUUUCUUACAUGAUCCAGGCCCAGAACCCAAACUCAGGCACUGUAUAGAUGACCACUUUCGUAAACUACUGACCUAGCUUGUUGCCAAUUGUUGAUUGAACUUCCCAUAACUCCACUUCGUGUCUGUUCCUCUGUAUACAGCCACCUUCUGUUCCCGUCAUGAGCCUUUAGGUCUCCAUUUGCAUAUUGCAAAUACUAUGUUCCAUGUAGGUAGCUCAUUCAGGGCCUUGCUCUUCACUUCAAAAAAGGUUCCCUUGAGGACUGGCUGUCAAUUUGU
ensembl:lncRNA SNHG1 small nucleolar RNA host gene 1